AUUGAACGCUGGCGGAAUGCUUUACACAUGCAAGUCGAACGGCAGCACGGACUUCGGUCUGGUGGCGAGUGGCGAACGGGUGAGUAAUGUAUCGGAACGUGCCCAGUCGUGGGGGAUAACGUAGUGAAAAUUACGCUAAUACCGCAUACGAUCUAUGGAUGAAAGCGGGGGAUCGCAAGACAUCGCGCGAUUGGAGCGGCCGAUAUCAGAUUAGGUAGUUGGUGGGGUAAAGGCCCACCAAGCCAACGAUCUGUAGCUGGUAUGAGAGGACGAUCAGCCAAACUGGAAUGGAGACACGGUCCAGACUCCUACGGGAGGCGGCAGUGGGGAAUUUUGUACAAUGGGCGAAAGCCUGAUCCAACCAUUCCGCGUGCAGGAUGAAGGCCCUCGGGUUGUAAACUGCUUUUGUACAGGACGAAAAGGUUUCUACUAAUACUAGGAGCUCAUGACGGUACUGUAAGAAUAAGCACCGGCUAACUACGUGCCAGCCGCCGCCGUAA
rnacentral:rRNA from 1 species